rnacentral:rRNA from 1 species
UACAGAGGGUGCGAGCGUUAAUCGGAGUUACUGGGCGUAAAGGGCGCGUAGGCGGUUGUGUGAGUGUGAUGUGAAAGCCCUGGGCUUAACCUAGGAAGUGCAUCGCAAACGACACAACUGGAGUAUAUGAGAGGGUGGCGGAAUUUCCGGUGUAGCGGUGAAAUGCGUAGAGAUCGGGAGGAAUACCAGAGGCGAAGGCGGCGAACUGGACAGCAACUGACACUAAACUACGAAAGCGUGGGGAGCAAACAGG